rnacentral:rRNA from 1 species
UACGUAGGGGGCAAGCGUUACCCGGAUUUACUGGGUGUAAAGGGAGCGUAGACGGUUAUGCAAGUCUGAAGUGAAAGCCCAAGGCUCGACCAUGGGACUGCUUUGGAAACUGUAAAACUGGAGUGCAGGAGAGGUAAGCGGAAUUCCUAGUGUAGCGGUGAAAUGCGUAGAUAUUAGGAGGAACACCAGUGGCGAAGGCGGCUUACUGGACUGUAACUGACGUUGAGGCUCGAAGGCGUGGGGAGCAAACAGG